rnacentral:rRNA from 1 species
AACGGCAGCAUAGGAGCUUGCUUCUGGUGGCGAGUGGCGAACGGGUGAGUAACAUAUCGGAACGUACCUUAUAGAGGGGGAUAACGCCGCGAAAGCGGCGCUAAUACCGCAUACGCCCUGAGGGGGAAAGCGGGGGACUCGUAAGAGCCUCGUGUUAUAAGAGCGGCCGAUAUCUGAUUAGCUAGUUGGUGGGGUAAAGGCUCACCAAGGCGACGAUCUGUAGCUGGUCUAAGAGGACGACCAGCCACACUGGGACUGAGACACGGCCCAGACUCCUACGGGAGGCAGCAGUGGGGAAUUUUGGACAAUGGGCGAAAGCCUGAUCCAGCAAUGCCGCGUGAGUGAGGAAGGCCUUCGGGUUGUAAAGCUCUUUUGUCGGGGAAGAAACGGUUUUGGCU